rnacentral:rRNA from 1 species
AUUGAACGCUGGCGGCAGGCCUAACACAUGCAAGUCGAGCGGCAGAAGGGAGCUUGCUCUUGGAUUCAGUGGCGGACGGGUGAGUAAUGCCUAGGAAUCUGCCUGGUAGUGGGGGAUAACGUCCGGAAACGGGCGCUAAUACCGCAUACGUCCUGAGGGAGAAAGCGGGGGAUCUUCGGACCUCACGCUAUCAGAUGAGCCUAGGUCGGAUUAGCUAGUUGGUGGGGUAAAGGCCUACCAAGGCGACGAUCCGUAACUGGUCUGAGAGGAUGACCAGUCACACUGGAACUGAGACACGGUCCAGACUCCUACGGGAGGCAGCAGUGGGGAAUAUUGGACAAUGGGCGAAAGCCUGAUCCAGCCAUGCCGCGUGUGUGAAGAAGGUCUUCGGAUUGUAAAGCACUUUAAGUUGGGAAGAAGGGCAGUAAGUUAAUACCUUGCUGUUUUGACGUUACCAACAGAAUAAGCACCGGCUAACUACGUG